AACGAACGCUGGCGGCAUGCCUAACACAUGCAAGUCGAACGAAGUCUUCGGACUUAGCGGCGCACGGGUGCGUAACGCGUGGGAAUCUGCCCUUGGGUACGGAAUAACUCAGAGAAAUUUGUGCUAAUACCGUAUAAUGUCUUCGGACCAAAGAUUUAUCGCCCAAGGAUGAGCCCGCGUAAGAUUAGCUAGUUGGUGGGGUAAAAGCCUACCAAGGCGACGAUCUUUAGCUGGUCUGAGAGGAUGAUCAGCCACACUGGGACUGAGACACGGCCCAGACUCCUACGGGAGGCAGCAGUGGGGAAUAUUGGACAAUGGGCGAAAGCCUGAUCCAGCAAUGCCGCGUGAGUGAUGAAGGCCCUAGGGUUGUAAAGCUCUUUUACCAGGGAUGAUAAUGACAGUACCUGGAGAAUAAGCUCCGGCUAACUCCGUG
rnacentral:rRNA from 1 species